AUUGAACGCUGGCGGCAGGCCUAACACAUGCAAGUCGAGCGGAUGAAGGGAGCUUGCUCCUGGAUUCAGCGGCGGACGGGUGAGUAAUGCCUAGGAAUCUGCCUGGUAGUGGGGGAUAACGUCCGGAAACGGGCGCUAAUACCGCAUACGUCCUGAGGGAGAAAGUGGGGGAUCUUCGGACCUCACGCUAUCAGAUGAGCCUAGGUCGGAUUAGCUAGUUGGUGGGGUAAAGGCCUACCAAGGCGACGAUCCGUAACUGGUCUGAGAGGAUGAUCAGUCACACUGGAACUGAGACACGGUCCAGACGCCUACGGGAGGCAGCAGUGGGGAAUAUUGGACAAUGGGCGAAAGCAUGAUCCAGCCAGGCCGCGUGUGUGAAGAAGGUCUUCGGAUUGUAAAGAACUUUAAGUUGGGAGGAAGGGCAGUAAGUUAAUAACUUGCUGUUUUGACGUUACCAACAGAAUAAGCACCGGCUAACUUCGUG
rnacentral:rRNA from 1 species